rnacentral:rRNA from 1 species
UGAUUGGUGCUUGCAUCAUGAUUUACAUUUGAGUGAGUGGCGAACUGGUGAGUAACACGUGGGAAACCUGCCCAGAAGCGGGGGAUAACACCUGGAAACAGAUGCUAAUACCGCAUAACAACUUGGACCGCAUGGUCCGAGUUUGAAAGAUGGCUUCGGCUAUCACUUUUGGAUGGUCCCGCGGCGUAUUAGCUAGAUGGUGGGGUAACGGCUCACCAUGGCAAUGAU